AACUUUUUUGCAGCUACAACAGGGGGUUCGUCCGAACCCCCCGAACCCCCCCUGGCUACGGGCCUGAUAACCUAUACAUAUACGACUGUCUUAUAUCUAUGGUGUAAUGGAGACACACAUUGACUUUGAGAGACUAUUAGAAGAAUUAGGAUCAGAAGUAACCAAUCUUCCUGAUAUAUCACAAGGUAUACAGUCACGUGACACUACUCACUGAUCACGUGAUCACAGGUUGGUCUGAUGGUUUGAGAUGAGCAAUAGAUCAUCAAGCAAUGAGUCUGUCUCAGUCUCCAGAGACGUUUGGUACAUGGCUACUGAUUAAUAAACUAAAAGAAACAAAUGAUGAUAAGGUGAUUGAUGGAGUAAUUAGUGUGGGUGUGGUUUUACAAGAUUUGAUGUAUAUUAAUCAUCAAAAUUUAA